ACAUACAUGCUUAUAUAAAUGUGGUCGCCCCACACACACAUACACACGGUUAUUGUUGCUAUAUGCCGGCGGCGACUUAUUUAUUUGUGAACUUUUUCGCUGCUUACUUUUUAUAUUUCGUUUUCUUUUUUUGCUUUUAUUUCAAUUCUUGACUCUCUAGAAUUGUCGGCGUCGCACAGUGGUUUGAGUAGCGUUAUUAUCUUAUCGAAUUAACAUCAAAGUGAAUUUUGAUUUUUUUUUUCACUUUUUUUUGCUAUUAUUAUCAUUAUUUUUAUGUAACUUUCUACUUAGAAUAUUAUUAAUGACAUAACUGAAACGUGCACCACACAAGACCAGAGAUAUUCACAGCUUGUUUGACCAAUGGCAUUUGCCUUUGGCCCACAGUGCACUGUCGCUGGCGACGACGCGUAGCUGCGCGAUUUGUACAAACAUACGGUUUUGCUUAAGCAACGGCCAUCAGUUGCUCGUCACAUGUUCGACACUCAAGUAGAGACCAAUAGCAGGUAACGGAAAUUGUGCAGAAAAUUGACGAUCAGUGCUGUGACCACCACAAACACCACACAUUAACAACAACAACAGCAACAACGGUAUACAAACAACAGUUCCCGCUCAAUAUAGUGCAAAUUAAAAGUGGGAGAUUCGAGAGAUUUAACCGAAAGCCGCAAAAAGAAAAACUUGUGUGAGUGCUCCUCUCUCUCUCUCUCUCCCGAAUAUAUAUUAAUCGAGCUGUUAACAUUUCAAACCCAACUACUAGUUGCCAACGCGCUGUUGCCGCCCACAACAUUCUCGAAACUUUCUGAGCAACGUGCUCUGACCACACGCUUUUCUGUGUUGUCUUCCUUCUGAGCGUUUGUCUAUCUGUGUUUGUGUGUGUGCGUGUUUGUGUUGUUAUGUGUUGGGUAAAGGAAAAGCCAAAAACGAAUAUAAGCAAUUAGGGUUUUAUUUGUCAGUCGAUAUUAGUGUAGUACUGUAAAAAGCAAGUGCAGUCAUCUUGUCGGUUGUUGGCUUGCGCACGGUUCACGUAAUAUAACAAACAAAAUACAAAUUAAACCAUCGAACAUCGUUUUUGGGCCAGCAGAAUUGAUCCGUCACCUUUACACCGGAUCGUCGCUGCAUUGUUUCCACUCUCUUUCUCCCUCAACAUCCAUCUGCAUCUCUCUACGACAUACAAAUAUUCCACAUCUCUGUCUCUCAAACUCGCUGUCGCUGUCGCUCUCACGCUUUCCGAUCUGUGUGUCGAUAUACGUUGAUUCUUUUUGCUUGCUGAUUUAUUUUAAUACAGUGGCUGUGCUCUCUAUUCAAACUCAACAAAUAGAAUAACUGACUGUGUGUGUGUGCGCGUCUGCUCUAUAUAUACAAUACAAAUCAAAUAUACAUACAUUCACAUUAGUGUUACAUAUACACGUGAGCCAAAACGAACAGAGACUGUAAUCGUGUAACCGUAACCAAUAACGUCACUCCAACUGUAACGGUCAACCAACAGCAUUCGCGCGACUCUCUUUGCACGACGAAGAAAAAGUAAACGGCAAAUAAAGAAGCGCGUUCUAACGACUCGAUCGUUACGUUGUAAACGCCAUCUAGCGUCAUUUCGCGAACAUUCGGCGUGCGUUGUCCUUGUUUAGUUUCGGCCGUAGUGCAAAAGUGAUUUCUCUGCCUCCUUAUCGCGCUCUCUCUCUACCACGAGCAUUCGUCUACGUGUCUCGCAGCACACAUCGCGAUCUGCAUCUUGAGAAUUCGGAUAAGAAUUAUUAAAGCACGACUUAUCGCUCAAUCCAGCAGCAAUAAAUAGGGCAAACAUUUAGAACAGAGGACGCAGUGAGA